AUGACGUGGAAGUAAGUCUUUAAAGGCCACCUAGCGGCCUCCAAAAAUAAAAACAAACACUAUUUAGUCGGCUAUUAAAUGCCCCGACCAUUAAGACUUAAAAACAAAAAUCAAACAAAACUAAACAGCCUUAUUGAUUAACAAAAUAAUUUACGAAAAAAACUUGACCGACAUGAAUUAUGAACAACAACCACUGUACUACAUGUUCCUGGCUUUAGAAUGGACAUUGGCACAUAAACAAUGUGGUGGCCAUAAACCCAACCCUCCGAAUGAACCAAACUUUAAGGACAACACAUCGCAAGAAAAAACUGUAAAAUAUCAGUUGCAAUUCGCGUCCCUAAAAAUAUGGGUACGGUGCACAAUAAUCACUUACAUAAAAACAAUAGAC
rnacentral:lncRNA from 1 species